AUUUUCUUUCUUAGAAAAAUGCUAGGUAUCUUCUACAUGAGUGAGUAAGAGACACCUCUCCCAUCAGGGAAAGGUAAUAAAUAGUGUGUAUGUAAGUAUAAGGAAUAUCAGAUUAAAGAUUUUUCGUAUGUUAUAAUAUGCUCAAGAAAUAAAAAGUUUGUUUCAUAUAUCAUUUGCCAAUCUUUUGUGCUGGUAAAAAAUGAAGGUUGUGAUCUUCAGCCUUAACGGAGGAAGGACGGAGCAGUAGCCUGAGACAGUGAGUCAUAAUAGGCUAAAAAGUUCUUCAUAGACGGAAGGAGAAGCACUGUGGUGUUGAUACAACUAACAUACAAGAAAGUUGAAAGAUAGAAUCUGAGUAUAGCUGGAUAUAUCAACAAAAUAUUGAUAGUAGAAUUGUUGAGGCUGAGAACGAGGAUGCGGAAGAUGAGUUUUUUAGUCUUUUGUAUAUUUUGUAGUUUGAAUUUGGAACCUCGAUAAAUUUUGUAAUUAGUUUGAUUUUUAAUGUUUGUAUUCUUAUGUUGGUUGAUUGUAAUUAAAUGAUUGGUGGUUUGUAUUGUAAAUAAUUUGAUUUUUAAUUUUGUAAAUAAUUUGAUUUUUAAUGUUUG